rnacentral:rRNA from 1 species
ACGAACGCUGGCGGCGUGCUUAACACAUGCAAGUCGAACGGAAAGGCCCUGCUUUUGUGGGGUGCUCGAGUGGCGAACGGGUGAGUAACACGUGAGUAACCUGCCCUUGCCUUUGGGAUAACUUCAGGAAACUGGGGCUAAUACCGGAUAGGAGCUCCUGCUGCAUGGUGGGGGUUGGAAAGUUUCGGCGGUUGGGGAUGGACUCGCGGCUUAUCAGCUUGUUGGUGGGGUAGUGGCUUACCAAGGCUUUGACGGGUAGCCGGCCUGAGAGGGUGACCGGCCACAUUGGGACUGAGAUACGGCCCAGACUCCUACGGGAGGCAGCAGUGGGGAAUAUUGCACAAUGGGCGGAAGCCUGAUGCAGCAACGCCGCGUGCGGGAUGACGGCCUUCGGGUUGUAAACCGCUUUCGCCUGUGACGAAGCGUGAGUGACGGUAAUGGGUAAAGAAGCACCGGCUAACUACGUG